rnacentral:rRNA from 1 species
GUGGCGGACGGGUGAGUAACACGUGGGUAACCUGCCCUAAAGUGGGGGAUAACAUUUGGAAACAGAUGCUAAUACCGCAUAAAACCUAACACCGCAUGGUGUAGGGUUGAAAGAUGGUUUCGGCUAUCACUUUAGGAUGGACCCGCGGUGCAUUAGUUAGUUGGUGAGGUAAAGGCUCACCAAGACCGUGAUGCAUAGCCGACCUGAGAGGGUAAUCGGCCACACUGGGACUGAGACACGGCCCAGACUCCUACGGGAGGCAGCAGUAGGGAAUCUUCCACAAUGGACGAAAGUCUGAUGGAGCAACGCCGCGUGAGUGAAGAAGGUUUUCGGAUCGUAAAACUCUGUUGUUGGAGAAGAAUGUAUCUGAUAGUAACUGAUCAGGUAGUGACGGUAUCCAACCAGAAAGCCACGGCUAACUACGUGCCAGCAGCCGCGGUAAUACGUAGGUGGCAAGCGUUGUCCGGAUUUAUUGGGCGUAAAGCGAGCGCAGGC